rnacentral:rRNA from 1 species
UACAGAGGUGGCAAGCGUUGUUCGGAAUUACUGGGCGUAAAGGGCGCGUAGGCGGUCUUGUCAGUCCCUUGUGAAAUCCCCCGGCUCAACUGGGGAACUGCACGGGAAACAGCAGGGCUUGAGUUCGGGAGAGGGAAGCGGAAUUCCGGGUGUAGCGGUGAAAUGCGUAGAUAUCCGGAGGAACACCGGUGGCGAAGGCGGCUCCUGGACCGAUGACUGACGCUGAGGCGCGAAAGCUAG